GGCUCCUACGCUACCCUAGAGAUCAGAGCUUCGGAGGUAUUGAUCGUGGCCUUGAACAGGUCAAUUUAGGUUUUGUUUUUGUUUUUGUUUUUGUUUUUGUUUUUGUUUUUAGAGAGAGAGCAGGUGUGAGAGAGGUUGGAGGGGACAGAGGGAGAAGGAGAGAGAGAAUCCCAAGCAGGCUCCAGUGCCAGCUAGACACAGGACUGGAUCUCACAACUUGGAGAUCACCACCUGAGCUGAAAUCAGGAGUCCGACACCCGUCGACUGAGCCACCCAGGUGCCCUGAACAGGGCAGAGGUUGACUGGAGAUUGGAGCAUGUGGCCUGAAAAAGAUUCAUGUAAAGAGACAUGAUCAGGCCCUCACAGUCUCCAAGGACACGUUCUCGAGGUGCAUAUCUGAAGCUUUGAGAAUAAUAUUGGGGCUUACCCAGAAAUUUGCAAGCUUGUUCUCAAUGGUGACUGAAGAAUAAGGUUUUUCCUUUUAAGGACUUAGUUGUGCUGCAUUGGGAAGGGGUAAGCGUACCCUUCUGUGGGGGCUUUUUAGAAGAUGGACACUCGCUCCCCACUCCAGGUCUCCAUACCUCAUUUCAGGGUGCUUGGGGACCCACAGACUUAAACUGGCUGCUGGAAGACAGAAAGAGCCCCCCACGUCACAGUUGGUACAGGCUGCUGACUUCACUUGGCAUGAAGCUCAGAGGUUUGAGGUUAGUCUUUAUGGGCACGAUUGGAAUCUUUGCCAAUUGGGCAUGUGUUGACAAAGACCCAGUAAUCAUCCUGGAAACUACCAAGAUGAUCCCAAAGAAGACACCAAGGCAUACUUUUGAUAAAUCCAGCUAGCACGUGGCACGUACAUUAGUGAACAGAAACCCACAUUCUCAGAACACUCAGGUUUGGGUUCUAGAACUGCACAGGGUACAAAAAUCAUCAUGGAGGCCCACCCGUAGCCAGAGUGGAGAUGGAGAACCCAGAAUGUGAUUCCACCACUACCGACACCCCCCACCACGCCCCCGGCCGCCGCCGCCCCUGGCUGUGACCGCACACAUGGAUUAUGUCACCGCCACUUCCAGCAGUUACUAUUUUAACCAGGUAGUGCCUGAGCUCUGCCUGCUGGAAAGUCAUGGAGCGACCUUCCUCCUGUCUCCCUCUCCCUCCAGCAGUGACAUGACAGAGUCUAGCCCUUUCUGCAGGAGACGUGUUCUGCCCAGAAUAGACCUUGGCUCCUGGGCCACCAGUUGCAAACCUGUCUUCAUGAUCGAGGGGCUCUUGUUCCCUCUGCUUUAAGAAGUGUCCCCGGAGGUCAGGCCCAGUGGGAACUCGUGCUGCCUAGGAUCAAAGGAACCUUUUGCUGUAAAUACGAAUGGAACCAAAAGGCACCUGAAAUGAAGGGAACAUUCUUUGUGUCUGUGUGCGUGCAUAACCCCUCAGGCGAUUCAACAGAGAAGAAAUAGGGUGGAAGGCAGUACGGGACCUGGUGCCACUUCUUCCCAUUAACAUGUCAUGCCAUAUACUGAACAUCUAAUGGAGCAGAAUCACCAGCUUGAGAACGAACUAUGUCUAUUUUUCUCAGCUGUAAGCUCAUCGGAAAGAGUGAGAGGUAUUUUUUUUUUUUCCUUCUCCCAAAGAGGGACCAGGUUCUGUGUUCUGGAUGUCUGGACUUCUGUCUCAGAGGAGCAUUAGAUGCCUUUGUUUUCAAUCAUCUAGGAGACAGGACUCAACCCAGCUAGGGUAAGGAGGGCUCCAUGGGUUGAAGGGGAGGGGAAGAGAGUGGUCGGGGUGGAGCUCUAAGGCUGGUUGGAGGGAAGGAGGGGAGAUCUUGAAAUAGUGAAGACCCAACCCAGUCGGCAGGCACUAUCUGAUGAACGGUGACACUUUGGACCACCAGGGCUGGUCACCUGGAGGACAGAGAAUGAUCAGGUACUGCUGUGCGUGACUCUUACAGCCCAGGCAAGUGACCCCCCACUACUAAGCCUGGCAUGCAAGGAGGGGUGCACAGGGCAUUAACUGCCUGCCAGCACCUGGACCGGUUGGCCUAGACUCAUGCAGCUAGCCAGGCUCACUUCCGAUGGAACUGCAGCCCGGGGCAGAUGGCUGGGGACCAUACCCACACGUCCAGUUGAUCCUGGAACAACACAGGUUUGAAUUGCUCGGGCCCGUUGAUUCGUUAUACCAACUAAACCCCCAACUUUAUUUGGAUGUCUCCAGUUUUUCCACUAAUGCCCUCUUUCUGUUCCAGGAUCCAAUCAAAGGGGCCACAUAGCAUUUAAUCAGCCUCUCCAGUCUCCUCCAGUCUAGGACAGCGUUUCUGUCUUCCCUAGUUUUCCAUGACCUUGACUGUCCUAAGGAGUAGUGGCCAACUAUCCUGUAGAAUGUCUCCCAAACUGAGUUUGUCAGAUAUUUUUCUCAUGCUUGGACUGGGGUUGUGGGAUCUGGGGAAAAAAAUCCCACAAGGGUGAAGUGCUCUUCUCAUCACAUCCUGUCAUCAGACGGUCCGUGACACCCACAUGGCAUCACUGAUCAUGUCAGCCUUCAUCGCUCAGUGGACGUGAUGUCUGCCAGCUUUCACUGCUGUCAAGUUACGAAUCCCAGUUCCCUAGUCUCUUCUUCUAAAACCACCCAGCCCUUUUUUAUUUGCAAUAGAAAAAUAAAGAAAUAGGAUGCUGCUUGCAA